GGAAUAUUGCACAAUGGGCGCAAGCCUGAUGCAGCCAUGCCGCGUGUAUGAAGAAGGCCUUCGGGUUGUAAAGUACUUUCAGCGGGGAGGAAGGGGAUGAGGUUAAUAAGCUCGUUCAUUGACGUUACCCGCAGAAGAAGCACCGGCUAACUCCGUGCCAGCAGCCGCGGUAAUACGGAGGGUGCAAGCGUUAAUCGGAAUUACUGGGCGUAAAGCGCACGCAGGCGGUCUGUUAAGUCAGAUGUGAAAUCCCCGGGCUUAACCUGGGAACUGCAUUUGAAACUGGCAGGCUUGAGUCUUGUAGAGGGGGGUAGAAUUCCAGGUGUAGCGGUGAAAUGCGUAGAGAUCUGGAGGAAUACCGGUGGCGAAGGCGGCCCCCUGGACAAAGACUGACGCUCAGGUGCGAAAGCGUGGGGAGCAAACAGGAUUAGAUACCCCAG
rnacentral:rRNA from 1 species